rnacentral:snoRNA from 1 species
AACCCAUGGUGAGGGCACAUUCUCAAUAGGUGCUUGUAUCUCUCCCAUGCAUCAUAGAGUGUCUCUAUAUCCAUCUGCACAAAAGAAGAGAUAUUAUUCCUCAACUU